GGAAAAGCGAGGGUGAUGAUAGCAAACAUGGCGGCCUCUAUUGGAAAGACCUAAGAAUUUGUGGACAGUUGAUGGCAUUGGGAAAAACUCAUCAAUGAUGCAUUUGCAAACUUUAAGAGGUGCUUUGUGGAAAUAAAUCCAAUGCCUGGGUCCAAGACAUAAAAGAUGAUUUUUAUUAUUUGUAAAUGCUGCGAUUUGUAAUACAUUUGUUAUGUUGUAUAUAUGUAUUUGUGAAUUAUUUUGUAUUGCUCAAAUUCUAAAAUAAACAAGAUCUCCACGUAAGGUUUCUUAUUUUUUCUGUGUUUAAAAUAUUUUCAAUAAUAGAGAGCUUGGAUUAAAUUGUCGUUUGGGAGGUAAAACUCAGUACCAGCAAAUUUUACAUUAUUGUCAUCUACUGUACUUAAGU